rnacentral:lncRNA from 1 species
CCCACAGCAACACACAACUGUCACACACACACUGUACAUAUACACAAGCACACCCCCACAGCAACACACAACUGCCACACACACUGUAAUAUACACAUGCACACCCCCACAGCAACACACAACUGCCACACACACACACACACACACACACACACACACACUGUACAUAUACACAAGCAUACCCCCACAGCAAAACACAACUGUCACACACACUGUACAUAUACACAAGCACACCCCAAAGCAACACACAACUGCCACACACACAUACUGUAAUAUACACAUGCACACCCCCACAGCAACACACAACUGUCACACACACACUGUACAUAUACACAAGCACACUCCCACAGCAACAUGUACUUACAAACACAAAGAAAUGGAGGCUUGGAGGGCCUCGACUGAGGAAAGGAGCGUGAAAGGGAAAUGUAUUGAAGAAGUGGGUGGAGCAGUGGUUCUUACCAUUCAGGGAACCUUGGCAUUAUGGGUAACUCACUAGAACACCCAUACUGUCCCCUGUGUGCUCACCCUCAGGGUGAGGUGCUGGGAUUGCCAUUCUUAACAGUUUCUUUGGGUGGCUGUUGGGAUUGGGGACCUUUGGAGUUUUACUAUUUCUGUUUUGACCCCAUAUCUGUAAUUUGGUAGUCGGGGAUCACAAUUUUACAAAACAUUUGUACUCUAGGCUCAAUCACACACAAAACAGAGAUAAUGGUAAUUUAAUGGGUGUAAGGCUGAGCUGAUGUUCACAAACAUAUCUAGUGUAACAUUAAUUUAUCUAAGCACUCAGUUUCCUUCUUUUUUAUUUUUUCUUGGCAAGAACAAGCAUUCUUUAUUGCCUCCAUGGUCCCUUGUUAAAUUUACAUAACUUAGGUAAAACUGUUAUUUCAUUUUUUGUAUUAGAUAUUUUCUUUAUUUACAUUUCAAAUGCUAUUCCGAAAGUUCCCUAUACCCUCCCCCGCCCCGCCCUGCCCACCC